AGAACGAACGCUGGCGGCAGGCCUCAAACAUGCAAGUCUAGGGGGUGUAGCGAUACAUCACCGGCGGACGGGUGCGUAACACGUGGGAAUAUACCUUUUGGUUCGGAACAACGCAGGGAAACUUGCGCUAAUACCGAAUGUGCCCUUACGGGGAAAGAUUUAUCGCCAAAGGAUUAGCCCGCGUAGGAUUAGCUAGUUGGUGAGGUAAUGGCUCACCAAGGCUCCGAUCCUUAGCUGUUCUGAGAGGAAGAUCAGCCACACUGGGACUGAGACACGGCCCAGACUCCUACGGGAGGCAGCAGUUGGGAAUCUUGGACAAUGGGGAAACCCUGAUCCAGCCAUGCCGCGUGAGUGAUGAAGGCCUUCGGGUUGUAAAACUCUUUCGACGGGGACGAUAAUGACGGUACCCGUAGAAGAAGCUCCGGCUAACUUCGUGCCAGCAGCCGC
rnacentral:rRNA from 1 species